rnacentral:rRNA from 1 species
GUGCCAGCAGCCGCGGUAAUACAGAGGUCUCGAGCGUUAGUCGGAGUCACUGGGCUUAAAGCGUACGUAGGCGGGCGCGCAGGCGUCGUGUGAAAGCCCUCAGCUCAACUGAGGAACUGCACGGCGAACCGCGCGUCUUGAGACAAGUAGGGGCGGUCGGAACGAUAGGUGGAGUGGUGAAAUGCGUUGAUAUCUAUCGGAAUGCCGAAGGAGAAAUCAGGCCGCUGGGCUUGUUCUGACGCUGAGGUACGAAAGCGUGGGGAGCGAACGGGAUUAGAUACCCUCGUAGUCC